UGGCCGAAUGGUUAAGCUGUCCGCUUUGUAAGCGGAAGAUCAUGGGUUCGAUUCCGAU
rnacentral:tRNA from 1 species